AUUGAACGCUGGCGGCAGGCUUAACACAUGCAAGUCGAGCGGGGUGAUGGUGCUUGCACUAUCACUUAGCGGCGGACGGGUGAGUAAUGCUUAGGAAUCUGCCUAUUAGUGGGGGACAACAUCUCGAAAGGGAUGCUAAUACCGCAUACGUCCUACGGGAGAAAGCAGGGGAUCACUUGUGACCUUGCGCUAAUGGAUGAGCCUAAGUCGGAUUAGCUAGUUGGUGGGGUAAAGGCCUACCAAGGCGACGAUCUGUAGCGGGUCUGAGAGGAUGAUCCGCCACACUGGGACUGAGACACGGCCAGACUCCUACGGGAGGCAGCAGUGGGGAAUAUUGGACAAUGGGGGGAACCCUGAUCCAGCCAUGCCGCGUGUGUGAAGAAGGCCUUAUGGUUGUAAAGCACUUUAAGCGAGGAGGAGGCUCUUUUGGUUAAUACCCAAGAUGAGUGGACGUUACUCGCAGAAUAAGCACCGGCUAACUCUGUGCCAGCCGCCGCAGUAA
rnacentral:rRNA from 1 species